rnacentral:rRNA from 1 species
GGUGCUUGCACUGGUUGGAUUAGUGGCGAACGGGUGAGUAAUACGUGAGUAACCUGCCUUUGACUCUGGGAUAAGCCUUGGAAACGAGGUCUAAUACCGGAUAUGACACAGUUUCGCAUGAAAUCUGUGUGGAAAGGGUUUGUACUGGUUUUAGAUGGGCUCACGGCCUAUCAGCUUGUUGGUGGGGUAAUGGCUCACCAAGGCGACGACGGGUAGCCGGCCUGAGAGGGUGACCGGCCACACUGGGACUGAGACACGGCCCAGACUCCUACGGGAGGCAGCAGUGGGGAAUAUUGCACAAUGGGCGCAAGCCUGAUGCAGCGACGCCGCGUGAGGGAUGACGGCCUUCGGGUUGUAAACCUCUUUCAGCAGGGGAGAAGCGAAAGUGACGGUACCUGCAGAAGAAGCGCCGGCUAACUACGUGCCAGCAGCCGCGGUAAUACGUAGGGCGCGAGCGUUGUCCGGAAUUAUUGGGCGUAAAGAGCUUGUAGGCGGUUUGUCGCGUCUGCUGUGAAAGCCCGGGGCUUAACUCCGGGUUUGCAGUGGGUACGGGCUAACUAGAGUGCAGUAGGGGAGACUGGAAUUCCUGGUGUAGCGGUGGAAU